rnacentral:rRNA from 1 species
GACGAAAGUCUGACGGAGCAACGCCGCGUGAGUGAUGAAGGUUUUCGGAUCGCAAAACUCUGUUGUUAGGGAAGAACAAGUACCGUUCGAAUAGGGCGGUACCUUGACGGUACCUAACCAGAAAGCCACGGCUAACUACGUGCCAGCAGCCGCGGUAAUACGUAGGUGGCAAGCGUUGUCCGGAAUCAUUGGGCGUAAAGCGCGCGCAGGUGGUUCCUUAAGUCUGAUGUGAAAGCCCCCGGCUCAACCGGGGAGGGUCAUUGGAAACUGGGGAACUUGAGUGCAGAAGAGGAAAGUGGAAUUCCACGUGUAGCGGUGAAAUGCGUAGAGAUGUGGAGGAACACCAGUGGCGAAGGCGACUUUCUGGUCUGUAACUGACACUGAGGCGCGAAAGCGUGGGGAGCGAACAGGAUUAGAUACCCUGGUAGUCCACGCCGUAAACGAUGAGUGCUAAGUGUUAGGGGGUUUCCGCCCCUUAGUGCUGCAGCAAACGCAUUAAGCACUCCGCCUGGGGAGUACG